UACGAAGGGGGCUAGCGUUGCUCGGAAUCACUGGGCGUAAAGGGUGCGUAGGCGGGUCUUUAAGUCAGGGGUGAAAUCCUGGAGCUCAACUCCAGAACUGCCUUUGAUACUGAAGAUCUUGAGUUCGGGAGAGGUGAGUGGAACUGCGAGUGUAGAGGUGAAAUUCGUAGAUAUUCGCAAGAACACCAGUGGCGAAGGCGGCUUCCUGGCCUGUAACUGACGCUGAGACGCGAAAGCGUGGGGAGCGAACCGG
rnacentral:rRNA from 1 species